rnacentral:rRNA from 1 species
AGAGAGAGACAUGCGCGCAUAUCAAUAAGCGGAGGAAAAGAAACUAACAAGGAUUCCCCUAGUAACGGCGAGUGAAGCGGGAAGAGCUCAAAUUUGAAAUCUUAAAGGGUUUCCCUUUACGAAUUGUAGUUUAAAGAAGUGUUUUCUGUUGAGGUUUUGGUAAAAGUUCUUGGGAAUAGGACAUCAUAGAGGGUGAGAAUCCCGUAUUUGACCUUUACUUUCAACUUUGUGAUACACUUUCAAAGAGUCGGAUUGUUUGGGAAUGCAGUCCAAAAUGGGUGGUAAAUUUCAUCUAAAGCUAAAUAUUGGCGAGAGACCGAUAGCGAACAAGUACCGUGAGGGAAAGAUGAAAAGAACUUUGAAAAGAGAGUUAAACAGGUACGUGAAAUUGUCAAAAGGGAAGCGUUUGACACCAGUGUUGUUUUUCUGAAAAUCAAUUAAAGAACUGUUUAUGCUAAGUUGUUUAGACUUUAUCAGCUAUCUGUUUAGUUUUGAGCUUUUCUUUAAUGCACUUUUCAGUUAACAAGUCAACAUCAAUUUCUUUUGCUGUAAAAAAGCUUGAGGAAGGUGGCUUGAGAUUCGUCUUAAGUGUUUAUAGCCUCUUGCCUAUGCAGUCGGAGAGAUUGAGGUCCUGCAGCGUAGAUCCUUCGGGGCUAAAUGCAUUUGUGCUAAGUUAUAGCAUUUUAUAGACAACUUGUUGACUAUGAUUUGUCUUGUAGCUUACUCGCUUAUGUUAUUUUACCUACGCUUAGGAUGUUGAGCGCAUGUCUCUCUC